rnacentral:lncRNA from 1 species
AAUUUUCUAAAUAAAUAAUAAAUUCACUUCGGCUCAAACAAGGUCGUCUAUAAAACCCUAUACCCCAAUGCCACAUCCUAUCAGAGUGUUGCGUCCCGACGUCCUUCAACACAUGGUUCCUUAAAGCAAUUCACCUAAUCAUCUGCUCCCCCGAACACAAAGUUCAAGAUCAUCACAGGAUCCAAACACAAACAACACACGGGGAGUG